UUUAGGCCAUACCACCCUGAACGCGCCCGAUCUUAUCUGAUCUCAGAAGCUAAGCAGGGUCGGGCCUGGUUAGUAAGUACUUGGAUGGGAGACAAUCUUGAGUAUAGAGGCUGCACUGUAC
rnacentral:rRNA from 1 species